rnacentral:rRNA from 1 species
UACGAAGGGGGCUAGCGUUGUUCGGAUUUACUGGGCGUAAAGCGCACGUAGGCGGAUCGUUAAGUCAGGGGUGAAAUCCUGGGGCUCAACCCCAGAACUGCCUUUGAUACUGGCGAUCUCGAGUCCGGAAGAGGUGAGUGGAACUCCUAGUGUAGAGGUGGAAUUCGUAGAUAUUAGGAAGAACACCCGUGGCGAAAGCGGCUCUCUGGAACGGUACUGACGCUGAGACGCGAAAGCGUGGGGAGCGAACAGG